UAAAAAGUGUUAAUAGAGUUAUUAUAGAAAACAAUUACAUGCAAACUUAUUAAUGAAUCAUGAUUUCUGCAUUAAAACGUUCACAUAUGUGCUAGCGUAUGUGCAUGGUUAGUGAAUGACACACUCUCUAAGGAGAGUCUUUCUAAAGUACACAUUCUUAUACUUAGAUUUUUGUUCGACUGAUUUCUUACCUCUUCACUCCUUACAAAAAAGUUCCCUUUGAGGGUACCACCCCAGAGACAGCCCUUGUACCUUAAAAGGUAUUUUUUGGUCUGAGAGUAUAGCUUAGCACUGUUUUCAAAACCAAACAACUACUCAUCAUAUCAUAUAAAAUUAAAAUAUAAACCUUCUUACAUCUGGAAUAGUGCAGAUCCAUGUGCUUAAUAUAAUUGGGCAAUCAAUAUAGUACAAUUCAGAUGUGAAAAUGGCAAACUCAGACACAAACAUACAACUGCAAGCAACUGUUUUGAUGAUCCAAAAUAUUUUUAAAAAGGUUACACUCAUAUUUGGCAUGCUUGCAUUGCUGAGUGAAAGGGGAAGUUUAAGUACAUAGAAUGUCAACACAGGAUGUUAUGGUGCAUUUCACUUGGAACAAUGCCGACUUCUAAAACAAUUACUAUACUGUAGUAGAUCAGUAGAUUUGAUCAGCUAGACAAUUGCUCACUUCUGUAGGAACCUAUUAAAUAGAUUUUUUAAUAUAGCUUACCUGUAUUAAAAGGUAAGGAAUCAGAACUAUGGGUAUCUGAAAUCAUCAGUAGUCAUAAUAGUAAAUUUAUUUUACUCUUUAACAGUGAACAGGAUUUAAAAACCCUACCUUGCCAAAGAAAACAUGUUACAGGGGCCUGGGUAGCUCAGUGGUAAAGACACUGGCUACCACCCCUGGAGUUCACUAGUUCAAAUCCCAGGGCGUGCUGAGUGACUCCAGCCAGGUGUAGCAAAUUAGCUUAAAAGGGAAUUAUUUAUAAUUAAUUAUAACUGGUUAUAAUUAAUAAUAAAUAUUUAGAUUAGAUCUUAGAAUUAACUGUAGCAGAAUCGAUAUUACAAUUACUUGAUCCGUCCGUCCAGCGAGCAGACAAUAUAAUUAUUUAUCAACUCUAAGAAGAUUACUUUCCUGGCCAAGGAACAAUAGCCUUCCUACUUAUACAGUGCUAGCAGUAGUUUAGCAUGUAGCAAGGAGCAACAUUCAGUGACUUUGAAUUGUGAGCGGAACACAGAGACAAUCAAUUGUGAAUAUAAGGGAUUUAAUAAAUGAAACUAUAACUAACAUACAAACAAACUAAGCAAACAUACAUAUAUAGAAUGAAGGAAUGUAAGGAAAAGAGAGAGAGAGAGAGAGAGAGCACAGAAUGGCAAUAUUUCACAUCAGUUAACCACAACCUAUAUGAGAAUCAUCAGAGGCACAAUUCACCUUAAAAGGGGUUCAAACUUAAACGCGCAUCUAAUCAGUUGUAAAUGGUUACUUGCAUUGGUUUGUUGCUGAAUAAGAGUCUUGAUGCGGUAGAUGAGGUUCUCGAUGAUUUCUUUAGGAGUGAGUUGAAGAAGUCCACAGGAAAUCCACAAAGUUACUUGACGGUAAACACUGCCAGAAGGUUAAACUCAAGAGAGAGUUUUGGAGUGGGUUGGUCUCAAGAAGAAGAAGUUUUGAGCGAUGAUUAGUCUGCGCUCUGGAGUUUUGAUAGUUCAUUGCCGCACCCAUUUUGUGGGUGGAGUGGCCAAUCAGAGGCAUGCAUUUUGAGCGGGAGAAACAUCCUUUGUCUCCGUUUAUGGCCCAUUCGCAUUUUAUUGCUGAUCUGGACCGCUAGUGCAGCUUUUAAUUCAAAACAUAGUAAGAAUUGUUCGAUGCAUUUCACGAUCACAUGGUGUACAUUAUUGUGUGAGAAAUAAAGGGAAGAUCAUUUUGAUACCAAGAAGGUAACCUCCAGACGAUAUUAAAGCAGAGAUACACUCAUACACUUGAAUAUAGGCAUUUAACGUCUAACUAAUACAAGUAAAGGGUUUUAACCAAGUUAAUAUAAUAGGGGAAUAUACAUACAACACAUGCACAUAGCAGAUACAUUUAUAACUGCUUACUAUGGCCUAAAUAGAGAAAAUGUCUUUAGGUGUGUGUGUGACGUGUAUUGGAAUUACUGGAGACAGACAACUGCUCUGGUGCCUGGCACGGGGGGGAGUCGCCCAUUAUGGUGGAAUGUGUUUGAAGCUUGAUGGAGACACUUCAGAGGAGACCUGUUUUAGCAUCCUUUUGAUAGUGAUAAAGACCAUCUGCAAUUUAGCACCCAUAUAAAUGUAAACGUGGAGGCCAGGUCAGUAAUUUAUAUGCAAAUGUCAAAAGGCUAAAAGGUUUUUUUUCAAACAAAGUUUUUUUCAAACAAAGUGUAAUUAGCCAUCACUGAUCUUACACAGACGUUACACAGGUCAACUAAGCAACCAAAUUGGCCCGGUUGCUAGGGAGGGUAGAGUCACAUGGGGUAACCUCCUCGUGAUCGCUAUAAUGUGGUUCAUUCUCAGUGGGGCGCGUGGUGAUUUGGGCGUGGAUGCCGCAGUGGGUGGCAUGAAGCCUCCACAUGCGCUAUGUCUCCAUGGCAACGCGCUCAACAAGCCACGUGAUAAGAUGUGCAGGCUGACAAUCUCAGACGGGGAGGCAACUGGGAUUCAUCCUCCGCCACCCAGACUGAGGCGAAUCACUACGUGACCACGAGGACUUAAAAAAGCACAUUGGGAAUUGGCCAUUCCAAAUUGGGAGAAAAAAAAAAAAAAAAACAUGUUACAGCUCUUUUAGUGAACAUUAUAAAUGGUGUAUCGUCAUUCAUCAUGUUGUGUUAUGAUUGCUCUUCAGGCAUCAUACUGUAACUGUGGGCAUCUAAAAUAAUCAUUAAGCUAUUUUAAAAAAUACUCUUUUAUGUUCUUUACCAGUGAACAGAAAUUUAAAACAGUCUGAUCACACUGUGAAUUCAACAAAUGUAGGUCGAAAGUUAAACUGGUCUGUGCUGAACACAAUGCGAAUCACUGCCCCCAGUGGCCGAAUUUGGAAGUUUUGUUGAAUGUAAGGGCACGCGUGAGUUUUUCUGGGUUAAGUGUCCACAGCAGUGGUGCCAAAAGCAGGAUCGGCCUAUGGGUUUGUGGGACCAAAGGCGAAAUCAUAAAAAUGGGUCCCACCGGUGUGAAUAUUGUCAUAACUUUAAAAUAUCCAUAGAACCUCUGCAAACAUGCUCACCCUCAUGCCAUCCCACAUGUGUGACUUUCUUUCCUCUGCAGAACACAAACAAAGAUUUUUAGAAGAAUAUUUCAGCUCUGUAGGUCCAUACAGUGUAAGUGAAUGGUGACCAAAACUUUGAAGCUCCAAAUGCAGCAUAAAAGUAAUCCAUUGGUUAAAUACAUGUCUUAAAAAAGCGAUCCAAUCGGUUUAGGGUGAAAACACCUUGUCAUUGCAGUCUCUAGACACGCUCAUGAUUACAAGCUUGAUUACACUUCCUAGAGCUUGACACGUGCACAGAGCGCUAUAGAUGGUGCUGGGAAGUGUAACUGAGUUUGAAAUCAUGAUCACCAAGGAGGCUGCUGAUGUCAAGAUUUAAGAUCUCAUAUCUGACCUUAGAACUACUGUUGCCCUGGUUUCUGAAGGUCAUGCCUGCAUAUAUCAUACUUAUUCAUUGAGAUCUUUUGUUUAGUAUCACUUUGGGACCAAGUGAAAUCUGACUUGACAAAAUUAUGAUGUAAUGUCUGUAAAGUCCUCAUUGAGCAGAUUCAUCAAAAAAAGUCAAGCCAAAGAAGACUGUGGCAAGGAACCCAAAAUUCAAAAAAUUUAAUCUGCAUUCAUCUUUACUCUAUAGUAGCUGGUGUCACACUAUGUCUUUAUCUUCUUAUCAUUUUCUCACAGACUGUCUCUUUGUUUCCUCUUUAACUUAUUCACUACUCCAAUCUAUUUGAAUCUCAUCAAGCCAGUUUCUUCAAGUAAGUGCACAAAAAUGAGAAUAUUAUUACUUACAAAAUAUUAAUAUACUGUAAUUGGAAGUGCUAUAUUCUUCACAUGUGCAUAUGGGAUACUGACACUUUCUGUAAAUGUCAGUACAUGUAAAUAUUUCAUUUUUAUAUGAACCAGUUCUUACAGCUUACCAGUUAUUCAUUUAUUUGAAAGGUGGUGGUUGUUUUUUUGACUGUACAGUUAAAAAAGGGUUUAGUAUUAUAAGAUUUGAGAACAGAAUCUUUAGUAUGUCCUGUUUUUGUCAAGACUGUGCAUGCUGGUAUUCUGUUUACCAUGUGUGUACAUGUGUAAACGUGUUCUAUAACAGUGUAAAAGGUAUGUUGUUACUUCAAGAACAUUAGGUUUUAAAUGUAGAAGUUCUACAGUUAUUCAUGCUAAGACAGGAACUACUGGACUGAUUGGGCAAUAAAGGAUGCAUGAUAUCAGUCAGUGUAUUGUGUAACUGACUGUGUUCACACAGCACAGUUUCUCUCUGUCUCAAAUCAUCAGCAGGUGUUACAGCUAAGAACUUGGGAUCUAAACAGGAGAUUAAAAUACUCUGCUUUCAGAGAGGCCAGUCUUUACUGACAGGAUGCAUUUCUGGACACCAGAGAAAAUCAUUUUUUGAGGUGUUUGGUGUAGAGAUUUCAUCAUCAGUCUGCCAGAGUAGUUUGAAGCUCUGAGUGAAUCCUGUGUGCUCAUAAAGUGUGCAUUUGGUAUGGGGGAAAGAUUUGACCAAAACCUCACUUAGAGUGCUGUGGGAAUGUGGGAAUGUGGCUUUAAGAUGAACUUCAGAAAGAGAAUGUAGUGUUUGACUCUAGACAUCCUAGUGAAAAACACUUUAAAGGGGAAAUAACUGGAAAAUUACAAGAGAAGAACUGCACCACAAUCUUUACUGACAUUAGUUCAAAUUACAAUGGAAAAGAUUACUUCAGGAUUGAGGGUAAUGGUGGACUGAAAUAUACCUACAGAACUAUAAAUGUCAUUGAAUCUCCUCAUAUCCCAUAGUGAAGUUGUAUGUGGAUCAGAUGGAGGUGCAGAGUCAUCAGGAGGUGUUGGAGGGGAGCUCUGUGAGUCUGUACUGCUCUGCUGAGACUCGCUGCUCCUCUCCUCCAGCAACUCUCACAUGGAGCUCCACUCACAGACUCCCCCUCAGUCUACAGGAGCAGCAGAGUCAAACUGAACUCAUCUCUCAUCUCAACUUCACUGCUACUCAUCUUCAACACACAGUCACUUUCACCUGCACUGUCACCUACCAGCUACAGUACAACAAUAAAACAGCACACAGCAACCUGACAUUACAUUGUUGUUCAUUGUAAUACAUUUUUGUCUGUUUCAUUGAUCUUGCAAAGCUUAGUUUUCAGUGGCAUUAUUUAUUUUCUCAUAUGUGCUCCACCUGUGUCAUAUUAUCAUUAACUCUUUCUUUAAAUUUCCCUGUUUUUCUCUUUCAGAUGCUCCCAAAAUCUCUCUCUCAUCCAGCUGUAACAGAGCUGAUUUAACUGAAGUGUGUUUCUGUGAGGUUGAUGGGAAGCCCUUUCCUAAACUGGAGUGGCAUCUGUCUGGACGUCCUGUCUCUUACUCUACAAACACGUUGAUCAGUGUAGCGUGAAUGAGCAGCACUGUCUUGAGGAGCUCCAUCACUCUACAUCACUCACUCGCACCCACUCUGCAGUGUGUCACCACCAACACCCAUGGCAAUGACAGCAAAGAGUUUGAAAAGUGAAUCCCUAUCCUCAAAAUACAUCAGGUAAUUUUCAGCUCUUUAAUUAAACAACUUCAAGCCAAACUCUCUGUAAUACAAAUACAAUUGCAUGAUUCUAGAAUUAUUCCCAUCCCAUAACUUCAAGAGUAUACAGCUCUGGAAAAAAUUAAGUCAAGUCAAACUUUAUUUAUAUAGCACAUUUAAAAACAACAGAAGUUGACC